CCGAGUUUACAACUCCCAACCCCUGUGAACAUACCUCAGUUGCUUCGGCGGCCGCGCCCCGGGCCUCGGCCCGGAACCAGGCGCCCGCCGGAGGCCACCAAACCAUUGUUUCUACUUUAGUUUUCUCUGAGUGGUUUAAACAAAUAAAUCA
rnacentral:misc_RNA from 1 species